rnacentral:rRNA from 1 species
UUGAAAGGGAAACGAUUGAAGUCAGUCGUACCUGUGGGUAAUCAGCCUUUUGGGUGUGAUUUUGUGGAGUGUGAGGAGUUAAACGCCUUCAUGCCUGCAUAUUCGUGCACUUUGGGUGUAUUUACCCGUGUGGUAAGUUAACAUCAAUUUCGGUGGUCAUAAAAUGGCUGGAGGAAUGUAGCUUUGAUCUCGUAUUGAAGUGUUAUAGCCUUCGGUAGAUGUGAUAAUCGGGAUUGAGGAUUGCAACGGAUACCCUUCGGGGCGACCUGUCUGAUCUCUGAUCGUUGCUCUGGUGCCGAAAGCUUGCUUACGGUUAUCAAAGUCGAUGGUCAAUAGGUUAGAAUGGGUUAAAUUCGUUAAGGAUGUUGACGUA